CAGGGCUCUCGCAUCGCCCGCUCUCCUUCACAGCUCGGCGCGGCGCGGCCCGGCCCGGUCCGAGCUCCGGCUCCCGGUUCCGAGCUCCGGCGGAGGAGGCACCGCGCAGGUAGGCUGGGGAUAUUUUUAAAAUCCUCCCACCAACCUGCCAAAUCACAGGAUGGAGUUACUCAGUGUCUCCUUUCCAUUGAAUGUUUUGCCACAUGCAAACUUUCCUCUUCUGUCUCAGUGUACUGUGUUUUGCUAGGCUUACUUGCAAAGGUUAAAAGAAUGGAGUGUACUGGAGUCAGGAAAGCUCAGUGUCUGUUGGAGGUGAAGUCACCAGCAUUGCAUUUCUCCACCAGUCACAACUGAUAAGUUCAAAACCACAUCAGGGAGGUAACUACUAAGAAUAGAAAGUACUAUCUCUGCCAUGAUAAAUCACCCCCAGGAAAACCAGCUUAUCCCAGCUCAGGGUGGCCACAAAACCAACAUUCCACAACCAGAACAGCAGAACUGGCAUCAGCCUGUUUCAGCUGCUUCCCCCAAUGCUUGAAGGGAAGCAAGCUGCACUGAAUGCCUGCUUGAAGGAUGGGCAGAGCUGAGGGUCAGCACCAACUAGCCAUGGAAAUGUAAAAUGCCAGCCUGAGAGGGUAGGAAGGAACCAGACCUGGGCCUCACACCACUAAAGGGCCUGUUGUGUGAACUCCCUGAAAGGAGCCUUUGUUUCCAUAGGCAACAGAACUGCUGUGGCAAUAUGGAUCAAACACAUCCGGAUUUACUUUUAUGCUUCUGAGGCAGGUUUCCAGAGGUGCAAGCCACAGAGACCUGGUACACUCUGCUGAUUCAGUGCAAGUGGAGGCUAAUCCUGAGUUAAGUACACAAAGCUUUACAGAUGUUGCAGUGAGAAUUUUCUGAUUGAUUUUAAUGGUAUCCACUGUCACAUUUCUGAAACCACUGUUACCCUGCAAAUAAUCAAACCCAUGGAGUUUCUGUCUCUGUGAUAGAUUGAGACUCACAAAAUAUAUUUGUACUGCUGCUAAAAAUGCUCUUAGUGCUUACUUAUGCAUCUCAAUGAAAAGUAAGUGCUCACCCUGUAGGCAGAAGUUUUUGAGAGUGUUCAGGGCAUGGAAACUCUGCUGCCUCCCUCUUACAGGGUGGAUCUGUGCAGUGACCAACUCGUGCCCCUGCAGAGGUGGCACCGGCGUCUCAGGUCCCCUGUGCUGAAUGAGGCUCCUCCCUGCUGUCCCCAGGAGCCCCAGACUGUCCCUUCCUGGCCUUCCAGGGCUUCUCCUUCGGCAUUCUGCUUCUGCUGGAGUAACUUCCCUUCAGAAAGGGAACAUGGAACAGCCUUUUGGUCUGUGACUUUCUCUGUCAUAAGAGGUCAAGUACUGAAUAUUUUUAUCUCAGCUGCUCUUGUCAUAGAAAUACUCCUUGAAUUCAUAUAAAUGCCCUGUUUAUUUGUUCUGAUUAAGGCUACUGCAUAAAUUAAUUAUUGAUAGAAAAGUUAAAAAUGUCAUUUUAAGGUAGAAAUAUGUAAUAAAUCACAAAGUGAAUAUGUGAUAAUCCCAAAGGGAUGAGCACAGUCUUCAUGGCAAUGCAUAUUUUUUGAGUUCUGUGUUCUAGGUCUCUGCAUCCUUUUUAGGUUAACAUGAAAGCUUUUCAAGGUCAGCAGUGCCAUAGAGGUAAUGAUGAGCCUGGGGAAGGCUUAUGUUAAAUGUGUCCUCAGUGUUCAGGUUAAUCUUUUCAUUUGUGAUUUUUUUUCCCCAUAAAUGGAUAUGUGGAAAGACAUUACCUGUGUCACAAAAGUAAUUUUUAUGUCUUUAAAUAUUAUGGUGGUCUAUUUUUCAAAUGAGAGGUUAUUUAUGCAUUAAAAACUGUGACUUUCAUUAACAAUCCCCUAACUUCAAGCACUUUAUUUAGAAAUAUGUAAACUCUGGGUACUGCAAGGUUGAAUAGAUGUAAAAAAAUGAAGGGAUAAAUAAAAAUAGGGCAGCUUAUCUGCACUUUUACAUUUAAUCCAAAAUUGCAUGUUAUUUUAUCUGACCCAAAUAGGUGGAAACAAUAAGUUAGUGAGUUGAACAGAUUACCAGUGUCUUGAAAGUGGAGCUCAGUUUAGGUACUGCUGGGCUGAGCCCUGUAGUCUUUAUCUGAUCUUGUGAGCUCUGCCUGCAACCUUCACUUUCCAUUUAUUUUAGUGAGGUGUUGAUUUUUGUUAGCAUGCACAGCAUUUGGUGUUAUUUUGUGAAGAUUUGCAAUAGGUCAUUGUUUGCCUAAACACUUUCAGCUACUAGGAAAUAGUGUGUUGUUAUUCUUUUCUCUGAGACUCUUGAGUCUUAAACAGCAGUCCAACUUGUUUCUUAGGAUUUCCUUAUUAUAAGGAUCCAGCUGUCAUAUAUUUUCCUGUGCAUGAAACUGAACAUAAAAAGAUAAAACAGUUUUUUGGGAAAUACUCCUGGCCUGUUGUUAUAGCAAUAAUAUUUGUGCAUUUGUUUGUGUAUGACUGUCUAAAUGCCUUGUCUUUCAAAACUUUCAAACCCACCGACUGGUGUCAAGUGAUUUUGACAGAAGGGAAGUAGUCUCAAGGAUAAUUGAGUUCUCAGUAGCUUUGGAAAAAUAGACCCCAUAAGCAUUUUGACUGAAGGAAGGACAGCAGUGAAAACUCACGUUUUGUGAGAGGUUGUAAAUUCCCAUACCAGAAGUAAAGCUCAAAUUGGAGCUUAAAUCAUGAGAUAGAAAUCCACAGAAAACCAAGCUGCAUUUAUUUCAGACUUCACUGUUUCACUUUUGUUUUUAAUAACAUCUUAUGGGAUUUAGAGAUCAAAAAUUUUUUAAUCUUUUGUAUUUGUCAUUAUUUGCACUGUUUAUUUAGCAAACUUAUUGAAAGGAGAUUAUUUUUCUCUUUUUGCAUUUUGUCAAUGUAAAAUGAAACAUCAGUGUAUGGGAGGUGCAAAUCAUUGUGUUUGCUGUUUAAUUACUAAUUUCUAUCUAUUUUGUGCUUUAACAACAUUAUUCCAUGUUUCGUUCUUUCUUAGUGCAACAGCUAUGUCAUAGUCUUCUUUGAAAAUUGAGUUGAAAAAUCUGCAGCCAGUGAGGUGUGGAAGGUACUUCCCUUGUUGCCUCUGGGUCUUUGAAUUGAAGAAAUAAUCCUGAACUGUUGUUUGUUUGCUACAGGCAUCUUGCUUCCCUUAAGCAUGCGAUGGGAUUUGACAUCAGUGCUGUUUCUCCAUGCUGAUACUGUGAUUAAACUCCCAAAUUUGAGCAGUAUGGGAUUCCUUCUACUGAAGAUCUUGCAACUCUGGAAAUAUUACACAGGCUUUGCAGUAGAAACUGUCAUAUGCCAGAAAUUCAGCUGAAUGCUUCUUGGAUUUCUCUGUCUGAACACCAUGGAGAUGAUGUCUGUCACAAUUGUACAGCUGCUGCAAGUGGUGAUUUUCUAAUCAGAUGAAGCAUAAGAAAACUAAUUCCUUGUUACGUACCUUUAAGCUACUGCAUUUAACUUCUUUUCAUUACCAUAGAGGUCUGUGAAGAAUACAACACUUACUGUUCUGUCAGGUCUCUGCAACAUGAUUCUUACACUGAGAUGGAUAUAUUUAAGAGAGCAAACAAGCAAACCCUCCUCCAAAGAGAAGUGAACAGGGGUUCCACAGCCCCAAGACCUGCAGCUGGACAUUCUUGCUUGCUGGGCUCAGCAUCGCUAUGGGCGUGAGCAACUUCUUCUCUUCCAACUGGGAGUUCUGGCUGUGUCCGACUGGAACCAACUCCUUGGCUCUUGUGAACUGAUGAUACACAGAGCUUGAAAAAUCUAAAACACCUUGUGAGUAGACACGCCAAUGUUAUGUUGAAACCUUGCCUCUCAUUCAAGGGAAAGCAAACCUGAGUGUGUGAUGUUAGAAAAGAAAGUGAAGAGAUUGAAAGAAAACUGCUGAAUGUCAAACUCACAAGGACCUACUGAAAUUCAGGACAAAAUCCAAAUUCAGUUUGCAGGAAAUGGAGCAAAGCAAACAGAAAAGAGUGGCAGGGUGUUAAUUGCAACCUGAUAAUUAAAGUGAAGCAUAGUCAAGGAAAAGAUAUCCUCCCAGCUUUCAGCAUGAAAAUGAUGAUGGGCAGCAUCUCUGGAUGCUCAGCACUGUUUUGAUAACCCUGGGAAGCUGCAGCAGGGAGAGCCUCAGUGACACACAAGUCUGUGUCUGAGAGCACACAUUAUCAGGUUUUAGUUUUUUUCUUGCAACUAAACAGUUUUGCAGAAUAUUUGCAUUGUUUCAAAAACAUUAUACUUUGACACCAUCUUAGAUUGAAGUUACUUGGAUUUUCUCCAUGUUUUUAGAUUUUGUUGUGACUCACAGAGGUAGUGGUUAAACUCCUCUUCUCCUGGCACGACCUCCCCACUUCAAGCAUGUUUUUUUUAUGGAAGAAUAUAAAUUUGUGAACUCAUGAGUUUAUAUUCAGUCAGCAAGAUGGACCACUAAACUUGAGAACACUACAGAAAAUACAAUAGACAUGAAAGCCUGAAGAGCAUAAUGGGGAGACGGAAAGUUUUAAAAUAAUCAGCAAAUUGAAAGCCAAGCGGUCUCACUUUCAUCACAGGAUAUUCGAAAAUCUGGCAUAGGCUUUAGCAGAGGAAGGAAUGAGCUCUUUUCAACUUCAGUUGGAUCACUUGCAAGUUUCAUGGUUGAUACAGCUAUUUCCAGGACCUGAGGCCUUGCUUUACAGGUUGCUGUUUGAACAUUUGUGCACCACCUCUUCAGCCACCAUAUUAGGAACCCCCUUGCAUUUCAUUCUUGCACACAUGUAAUGAUUUUACAGAAUUUGAAAGAAUGUACCAUGGAUGGAAACAAGACAUGUUCCUGAAGAAAUGUUUUAUUCAACAAAACUUGCCCAACUUGAGCAUUUUCCAGUCAUGCUUUGUGUCAUCAACUUCCACACAUGGCCCUUCAAAUGACAGACAGGAAAAAACAUCCCCAGACUUUAUAAAAUUAUAUGGUUAAAGAGAAAAGAGAUUCUGAAAAUUAUGCAAAUUGAGGGGUACUUCAGAUCUGGAAAAUAUAACCUGACUUUGAACUCCGGAGAAGCACAACAGAGCCACUACAUCUGGUUUCAGACUAUUCCCAAAUAUCUAGAAGCUCAGUGUUUAAAGGGACAGUCCAGUACCUAAGGAAAUAAUCAGUGUAAUCAAAUGCAAUCAUUGCUGUGGCAACAACUUCUUCCAGAUCAGUGGAGAAAAUGCUUGUUUCAAACUUAGGUCUGUAACUUGUUGCUACAACACUCAGUGUGCGUGCACACACUGUUGCUAAGAGCUCUGCUAUGUGUCACUUGCCAGCAUUCUACAAGGAAGAAAUUAAGGUGUUCAUCAUAAAAUACAUGUUUGGACUAUGUUUUCAAAUUUAGACUGCUUUUCUUCACAAAUGUUAUGAGACAAGCUGGUCUGUUGAGGAAAAACAAAGGGAACAAAAAGUCUUUCCUCUGCUCUUUACCUCCUCGACAUAAUGGCAGUACCAGGUCAAUUUCUGGUUUACUUCAGAGGUAUUCAUAAUUUCAGGCUGGGAGCAGGAGCUCAGCAGCCCCGGAGAGGCUGAGCUGUCCUGAUUGUGAGCUGCACGUAAUCUUUGGUGUGCAACUGUGGGAGUGCUUCCAGACUGCUCUGGAAUCUCUCCUCUUAUGGACCACCCAGUAACAUCUUGCUUCUUGCUCAGCUGUGUGCAGAGACUGGUAGGCAUCCACACCUUCUAAAAAAAAGGUAAAAAACCCAUGAGGGUAACAUGAGAAAAACAGGUAGUCAAAGAGAAGAGGGGAAAAUAAGGUGAUUUUCUUUCCCUGGUGAGUUAUGUCUCAGAAAGAUAUUUAGGUGAUCAGUAAAAAAAGAAAAAGAGAAUUUAGUCAAAUUCCAUUACUCUUGAAGUUGAUCAAAUUUAUGUAGAAAAUAAUUAAUGAUGAGAGCUGCAUUAUAUCUUAAGACAACCAGUUAGCUACUUCUCUUGAAAAACCAUAUUUUGUUACAAGUAAUUCUAAAAUAUGCAUCUGGUAGUAUGUUAAAUUUGGGGUUUUUUUCACUUAUUUAUUGUGAAAUAAGAGAAAAAAAUAAAAUAACAAAAACCCCCCCAUGGUUUGCUUUUGAUUGCUUCUUUCAGUGAGAAAAAGCUGUGGCCAGUAACACUAAGUGAAUGUUUUAAGCCCAGUGAAACAGGCAACAGGAUGUGACAUUAAUUAAUUUCAUGAAUUUUUAAAGAAUGAGUUGAUUCAAACAUCAAUUUGCAGAAUGACAUAGCAAAAGAGUCCAAGAGCUCUUCUGCCCUGGAGGGGAGCAUAAACACUCAGUGGAGACUUUGCCUACCAGAGGCGGGAGGAGGGGAGGGCCAGGCUGGGGUAAUGGAUGGUGAAUGAAGUGUGACUUUCAUGUGCUCCCGGCCUCUGGUCCUUCAGCCUUUGAAUGCAAGACGGCUUUUUUCCAUCACAAAUGUUAGAAAGUCGUUUAUUGCUCAGGGUGUUUUAGGUGCCAAAAGGCUUGCAAAUGAAAGAUGGCAAAGCACACAUGAAAGUGAGCAUGAAACUAUUAAAGGAAUGUCAGUUGAUGUAUACAAGUAACAGAAAUAAAAACAAAAUUAUGUUAAUACCUUCCUCAUUAUUUUCCCUGAAAAUAGACCCUUACUCAUCUGUCCUUUCUUUAAUAUCCUUUAAUUAAAUGUGUUUAAAUAAAUAAAAAAGCCCUAAGCAUAUGUUAUGACCAGUGAUAUUACUCUAAUGUAUUUCUCCAGUGGCAAUCACAGCUGAAUUGCGGGUGCAUUUUCAAUGAGACCACAGUUCUCAUUCACCAGUUCUUGUGAAAAGGUGCUGCACUGAUUCACCAUAUUGAUUAAAUUAUUUUAAUUUCUAGGUUAUAACAGUGGAUAUGUCUGUGCUUGUGUGGAGGGUGAAUACUUUUUGUUUAGUUUAAAAAGAAAAAAAAGAAGGAAAUGUAUUUUGCAAAGCAAUACUUUGUGUGAUACUUUUCUAAUAUAGAAAUGAAUAUAAAUAAAUAUAUAAUGAAAUGCAUAGAAGAGUUUUUAUGUAUAUCAGGGUCAACAUUAAUAUUGAUAUUUUAAGUUAUUUGAUCUCUCUCUGCUAAAAUCUGUCUUCCUUGGCUUAUGAUUCUAUAAAAUAAAGUUGUUUAGCUUUGAGAAAAAAAAUAGUGGUGUAGUCUGCCCAUUGGGACCAAGUGUACCCAAUCUUAUCUUUUUGCACCCAGCCUCAGAAUUCUGGGGGAAAAAAAUUAGCUACGUGUAAUAUUUAUUAUAUAAGAAGUACAACAAAUACUAAAUUUUAUAG